GUGUUUGGGUAAUCGCUGCAUCGUUUAGAUGUAGAGGAAAGUCCAUGCUCACACAAUCUGAGAUUGAUUGUAGUGUUCGUGCCUGACGAAGUCAUAAGUCAGGGUAGUCUUUUAUAAAGGCUAACGGCAGGUGACUUACCUACGUUCUUUUGAAUACGGUAUGCGAACCUUGAAAGUGCCACAGUGACGAAGUCUGACUGGAAACGGUCAGAGUGGAACGAGGUAAACCCCACGAGUGAGAAACCCAAAAUAAGGUAGGGGCACCCUUGAGAAGGAAUUGAACGGAUCAAGGGACAGAUGAAUUCUGUAGACAGAUGAUUACCACCUCCGUACGAGGGAUGACCCCCGUUUGCAGUACAAGAGGUACAGAACAUGGCUUACAAAA
rnacentral:RNase_P_RNA from 1 species